rnacentral:rRNA from 1 species
UACGUAGGCAGCGAGCGUUGUUCGGAAUUACUGGGCGUAAGGAGUGUGUAGGCGGUGCUCUAAGUUCGGUGUGAAAUCUCCCGGCUUAACUGGGAGGGUGCGCCGGAAACUGGAGUGCUCGAACGUGGGAGAGGAAAGCGGAAUUCCUGGUGUAGCGGUGAAAUGCGUAGAUAUCAGGAGGAACACCUGCGGUGUAGACGGCUUUCUGGACCAUUGUUGACGCUGAGACACGAAAGCGUGGGUAGCAAACAGG